rnacentral:rRNA from 1 species
AGAACCUUACCAGGUCUUGACAUCCCGAUGCUAUUUCUAGAGAUAGAAAGUUACUUCGGUACAUCGGUGACAGGUGGUGCAUGGUUGUCGUCAGCUCGUGUCGUGAGAUGUUGGGUUAAGUCCCGCAACGAGCGCAACCCCUAUUGUUAGUUGCUACGCAAGAGCACUCUAGCGAGACUGCCGUUGAACAAACGGAGGAAGGUGGGACGACGUCAAAUCAUCAUGCCCCUUAUGUCCUGGGCCACACACGUACUACAAUGGCGGUUAACAAAGAGAGGCAAUAC